UCCGGUUUGUCACCGGCAGUCUCCCAUGAGUCCCCAACUGAAUGCUGGCAACAUGGAACGGGGGUUGCGCUCGUUGCGGCACUUAGGCCAACACCUCACGGCACGAGCUGACGACAGCCAUGCAGCACCUGUGCUGGCCCCUUACGGAGCCCUGCUUUCACAGGGUUUAACCAGCAUGUCAAGCCCAGGUAAGGUUCUUCGCGUUGCAUCGAAUUAAUCCACAUGCUCCGCCGCUUGUGCGGGCCCCCGUCAAUUCCUUUGAGUUUCAGCCUUGCGGCCGUACUCCCCAGGCGGGACACUUGUCGCGUUAGCUUGGCCACGGAAGGGCUCGAUCCCCCCCGCGGCGAGUGUCCAUCGUUUACCGCGUGGACUAC
rnacentral:misc_RNA from 1 species